UAUGUGUAGAUACCAAUUCAUUUUUGGGUUACAAAGUGAAGCUACAUGUCACUGUAGGACUGACCUAUUACAUGGUGCACCUAGGAAAUUAGCUGCUUGGCUGUGAGGGUGACACAGGCUGUUGCUUUUCUAAAAAUAAGGACACAAUGACUGGGAGAAUCUUUGUGCUUUAAGGGAAAACCUUAAAAAAGCUCAGGAAACCUGGGAUGAACUUUCCAUUCUGGGAAAGGAGAAGGCCACACUAGUGAACCACAGCUUGCGGUCACUUGCUGCUCUUACUGCCCUGACAUAAACCUGGCUUAACAGUAGGGACUUGUGAGAGAGAAGUGUACUGCUCAAACAGCUACACUUUAUCUUCUUUGCCAGAGUCAGAAUGGGGAGGAAACCUCCUCUGGCAGCCUCGGCCACUGCCCGCAUGCAUAACUGGUUCUGUCUGGGAGAGAUAGUUGGGAAACUGGGAAUCUAUUCCAAGAGAUUUAGGGAGUUUAAGAUAAAAUUCCAAGUAGAAUAGACUUUCAGAAAUGCUGUAAGCAAUUGGAAAUUACACUAUUCUUUAGUGCACUGAUGCACUUCCUUGGGGACCUAGCAGCAGGUCAACCAGAUAGAAAACAGUGCGAGAAACUGAACAUGGUCCCCAGAGAUCAGUAACCGCUCUUCUAACUCCUUCUGAAAGAAGCAGAUGAGUUGCACUCAAAAUAUAAUAUCAGCUGUUAUGCCUUAAAAGCAACAAUAAACAAGUGUUUAAUGGUGGUUUUCACAUUGUUCAGACCAGCUUGUGAAUUCAUUUUUUGCAAAACAUUCCAAGGUGGAAAUCGUGACAGAAGAGGGCACUUUCCUCAUGAGAGAAAAGGGUUUCCAUUUAACGCUUUUUUCAAUCCAUGUGACUUGGCACUGUGAGUAUAUAGGAGUUUAAUGUCCUCUUCCUUCUCCAUUCAUGACAGCUUUGGGAAGAUCUGUUUGACGACUGGAGGUCCAGACUACUACGUUCCUGAGAAGAAAGCAUGUCUCUAACCGCUGUGCUUCCUUCCACGAACAAUUGGCGCUAAUACUACUAAACAGUGGUAAAUGACCAUUCAAACAGCGAUCCCCAAUGUCAAGUGAAAAAUACUAAAGAACAUGUGAGUGAUUAAAGUGGUCACCUCGGCAACACAUGCUCAGCUCAGCAAUGAUAAUCUUAUUGUGAUUAAGCGUGAUUAAAAAAGAUUUCUUCAUUA